CAUAUAUUCAGCUGUCCUGUCAAUAAAGGCCUAAAAUGCCCAAAAAAUAAUCUUAAGAAAAAAGGAUGAACCAUUGAUGUGGUCUUCCAUCCCUCCCAGUGACGGACGACACAUGUUGACAGCAGAGAGGGAGACAAGCCACCAUAUAUGCCAGGUCUCGAAUUGAUGACAUAAAGUCCACUUUUGACCUGUCUUAUUGGCCUUACAUUUCAAAUGGAAUAAAACAAAUGGUGUUAAUGUGUUUUGAAUGAUGUUGUUAUUAAAGGUGUAAUACAGAAUUAGGUGAAGUAUCCACUAAAUAUUCUUUAAAUAACAGUAAAACCAGAUGGGGUCAAUUUUGACCCUAGAGGACAACAGGUGUGAUUAUGGGCUGCCAUUAAAAAAAUUCAAAUGAUUCAAAAACAGCAUCCUCACUAAACCUUGACAUAUACCACUCUGUGAUAAGUCAAAUAGUCAAAAUAAUUCAUAGUUUCAUUUUAUUUUUACUCAAAAACAGGGUAUACUUUUAUGUAAACUAUCUAUUCGCUCUAAAUUCCAAAACGAAGGGAAAAUGUAGUAAUGAGUUGAACUGAAGUAAGACUAAAGGUGUAACACAGAAUUGAUUGACAAUUUAUACUGUAUGCUUUAAA